AGUAAAUUGGUUAAGUUAGAAAGGGCGCACGGUGGAUGCCUUGGCACUAGGAGCCGAAGAAGGACGGGACUAACACCGAUAUGCUUUGGGGAGCUGUACGUAAGCGUUGAUCCAGAGAUUUCCGAAUGGGGGAACCCACUAUCUUUAGUCGGAUAGUAUCCUUACGUGAAUACAUAGCGUGAGGAAGGCAGACCCAGGGAACUGAAACAUCUAAGUACCUGGAGGAAGAGAAAGAAAAAUCGAUUUCCUGAGUAGCGGCGAGCGAAACGGAAAGAGCCCAAACCAAGAAGCUUGCUUCUUGGGGUUGUAGGACA
rnacentral:rRNA from 1 species